UAUAGCUUCCUCUGUGACUGCCCUUGAGUUAAUGGUUACAUCAUGCAUGAGUAGGGUAGCACUCCACAUUCAUUUCCCAACACAGCAAGCAUUGUCAUGCACUGGGUCAUAAGCAGGUAUAAACCAGCCUAAGUCCUGUGUAAUUAACUUUGGCCCAGCACAUUGAAGUGUCUUUGACAGUGAGCAUCAUUCUCCCCAUCAGUUCUGGAAGGGGAACAUGGGAGAAUUCAGAUGGAUGACACGAAACAACCUGGCAUCUCUCUGCAGGUAUCUCCAUGGGCUUGGCAGGUAUGACACAGGAUGCACAGGAGUCCUAUAUCCCUUUGGGACUGCAGCUGGAGGUCAGAUGUGUGUUAGUUAUCGCAUGAAUCAAAAUUGAGUUUUAAGAGUCCUGCACUUCUCUUGGAUGGAAGUUUGCGUGUCAAAGUGACUGGAAGGAUUUUCCUAGCUCUCAGUGGGACUGGACUGCAUCCCUUGUGAAGCCCAGUUCCCCAGCCGGUGUGGAUAUGACCUAUGUGCACAGCACAGUCAUUGCGUUUUUUUUUCCUUUUUCUUUCCAGUUCUGCUUCCCAAACAUUCAGCAAGCUGGUGUCCCAGACAAAUGUGCUAAUGAAACUAAAGGCCCAGGACCUGAAUGGCCUUGGGAGAAUUAGCAUGGCAAAGGAAGGCAAGUCAAGCUCCAGAAUCUGUCUUUUCUUUGGUAACAAUGACUUUGUCUUAGGAGACAAACAAACAUUGCCUGGACUUGUUUCAUAACUUUAGGCAAGUCGGAUGUAUUGGUCUACUUUUAGCAGCUAUGUAUUUUAGAAAACUUUUGUGAACCUGAUAAUGUCACUGUAAUGUUUCCUAUGUUUCCUUCAGCUGCCUAAUGAAGCAGGAUGGGUUUGGGGCUGCUGCUCUUCAGUGUACACAUCUUAUUUCUGGAGAUAA